rnacentral:rRNA from 1 species
UGGCGAACGGGUAAGUAACGCGUGAGGAACCUGCCCCAAAGAGGGGGACAACAGUUGGAAACGACUGCUAAUACCGCAUAAGCCCACGGCUCGGCAUCGAGCAGAGGGAAAAGGAGCAAUCCGCUUUGAGAUGGCCUCGCGUCCGAUUAGCUGGUUGGUGAGGUAACGGCCCACCAAGGCGACGAUCGGUAGCCGGACUGAGAGGUUGAACGGCCACAUUGGGACUGAGACACGGUCCAA